GGUGACCUCGGAUCAGG
rnacentral:rRNA from 2 species